rnacentral:lncRNA from 1 species
UGAUACAGAGAAACAUGGCGAAAAGGAAUAACAGUUCUAAAGUAAUGUGCAAAGACAAAGGUAAAGUGUAAUUGUGUCAUGAAACUCUAAACUUGCAUGGCAUUUUUUGUAAGUGCAGUAAAAUCUAAGGAUGAUAGAAGUGACUAUUUAGUUAUUUCACAAUUUAAAACCCGUCAAAGUUUAUUAGUGUCCAUGCCCAUGGGCAUAUACAGGUGAAGUUCAGGUUAGAUCUAAGCAAAAUCCACAUCCAAAUCUGGUAAGAUAAUCAAGUCAGAUUCAGUUUUUAUUUCUCCUCAUGUCUUCUAUUUGAGUUCUAAUUCACAAUUGUAGAUUUAAUAAUUUUAUAAUAACUGUUGGAAGAUUGUUAGAAUUGUUGGGAAAUUCAGUGCAGGGGUAAAAUGAUAAUUUUAAAACUUUUCAAAAUCACUAUUUUACAGUGAAAAUUAUUAAUUAAUCUAAUUAAUUAAUAAGAAUUUAUCCUACACUAGGAUCUAAAUAUGAUAUAUAGCAUGCAUGUAUUUAAAUUUGAAAUUUGAAUUUGAACAGUAAACAGUUUACUGUAAUGUGUUCAGAACACAAUACCUUUGUGCGGGUAGUAGAUCGCCGCAAUCUGAUCACCGUCGGGAGAGUCUGAUCGUCGCGAUGCAGCCACACGGUGUGUCUGCCUCUGCGGAUCGUCCAUAUGAAGCUUCCGGUCUGAUCGACUCCUCACGAGUGCUAGCUUGUUGUAGAGCCCUUUCGACGGCCGAUGCUGAUCGAACUCCUUCGAUCGAUGUCUGUCGAUUCUUCGGACGCUUCGAAUCGUCAGCAGACGUGCUUGAGAGGAUGUUGAAGAUCUCCCUGAAAUUUGGUGGGCUCACGACACUCGUAGCUCACCUUCUCACUUCCCGAACUCCAGACUGAAAUCCUGAAGAACUCACUGAAAUCCUGC